UUCCUUUCAUAGUUCCGAUUUUUUCUUUCAGAAAUUCCCAAUUUGUAGAAUUAACCCUAAAUUUCGUGUCUUUGAUAGUUAUGCUUUUUGUUUGGCGUUUGAUGUUAAAUGGGAUUUGUGGGGGAAUGAUGUCUCUCUCUCUCUUUGAAGAUGUGAAAAGGCUCAUGAGGUUUAGGGCCGAAGGGGUAAAGGAAGACCUAGGAAAAUUUUGGAAGAGACUCUAAGAAAAGACUGUACUUGGAUUUAACGGAGGACAUGACACAGAACUGAGCGCAAUGGUAUUCUAGGAUUCAUAUAGCCGACCCCAUCUAGUGGGACAAGACUCUGUUGUUGUAUUAUAUUGCUAAUGUAUUUUUCUCCAUGUGCACCACACAUUUUCAUGAUUCUUGAUACCUUUAUAUGAGUAAAGCUGUUUUCUGGAAUUGGUGCCGUUAUGAGGGAGGAAUUCGUCAAGAACAUGUUAGUUUUAAAGACUGAUGUCCUUUACAAGAUGCUAUACUUGUCUUGAUCAUACAUGGGUGGCUUUUUAAUGAUGCUUUUAGUCACUCUUUGUUAAUAAGCCCAAUGAUGAAAUCUCAUUUUGUGAAGCAGUGCUUCACUUUAAGCCGCCAUUUACUGUGCCACGCUGAUCAUCGCCAUUUGCCGGCUCCUUCUUCUUCUUCUUCUUCUUCUAUUGUUGUUAUUAUUAUUAUUAUUAUUAUUUCUGGUGAUGAUCCGGUGGUGUUCGUAAAUGGUGACUGGCUUUCAGUGAUUACUGUUUAUGAAGUUUUAGUAGUGGUCUGAGGGCUCAAAAUAUCAUUAGGUUUUAUUAUUCAAUGAAAGGCAAAUGAAUCUCCAGUAUAAUUUAAAUGUGUGGUAAUCUGUUUAUUAAUGAUCUGUUGAUGUAAAUAUUAAUAAUUUAGUUUGAAUACAGAUAGGGACAGAGUUUACUCCAAACUAUUUGCUAAUUCUUGCCUUCCUCUUCCGCAUGCAUUACUAAUCUUCUUUUCUGGGUUCAAGUUUCCUUUUGGCCCUUGAAUUGUAUGUUUUGGAUUUCAGGUUAUUUCGGUUCGAUUUCUUUUAAUAGAAUGUGUGAUUACGGGGCUUGAGAGUUUUCUUUUCUGUUGCGGUUGUGGCUGCAUCGUAUGAGUGAUUACCUCUUUCGUUGGGUGGAGACGGCGACUCUGUUUUCAACCUCUGUUUGGUUUUCACAUUGCAAUUGUUUCACUUUAAGCCGCCGUUUAUUGCGCCGGACUGAUCAUCGACAUUUAACUGCGGCUGCUGCUGCUGUUGCUCCUCCUCCUCCUCCUCCUCCUCCUCUUUAUUAUAAAUAAUAUUUCUGGUGAUGAUCUGAUGGUGUCCGUAAAUGUUGCCUGGCCUUUAGUGAUCACUGUUUAUGAAAAUUUUGUUGUUGAUGAGGUCUGAGGGCUCAAAACUUAAUUCGUCUUGGUGUCUGGUGUCUCUUGAUAUGUAUUGGUGUUUUGCAUUGCAAAUUUGCAAUCCAAGUGUAAUUUGAUGCAUCCCGCAUGCUGCUUGAUGGUUUAUGAUCUUUGGUUGUAAUUGUUGUAGUGAAAUGAAAUGAAAUGAAAGCGUGUCCAUAUCAUGCCUUUUGGUUUG
rnacentral:sRNA from 1 species